rnacentral:rRNA from 1 species
GAUGAACGCUGGCGGCGUGCUUAACACAUGCAAGUCGAACGGUGAAAGAGAGCUUGCUCUCUGGAUCAGUGGCGAACGGGUGAGUAACACGUGAGCAAUCUGCCCCUGACUCUGGGAUAAGCGCUGGAAACGGCGUCUAAUACCGGAUACGAGCUGCGAAGGCAUCUUCAGCAGCUGGAAAGAAUUUCGGUCAGGGAUGAGCUCGCGGCCUAUCAGCUAGUUGGUGAGGUAACGGCUCACCAAGGCGUCGACGGGUAGCCGGCCUGAGAGGGUGACCGGCCACACUGGGACUGAGACACGGCCCAGACUCCUACGGGAGGCAGCAGUGGGGAAUAUUGCACAAUGGGCGAAAGCCUGAUGCAGCAACGCCGCGUGAGGGACGACGGCCUUCGGGUUGUAAACCUCUUUUAGCAGGGAAGAAGCGAAAGUGACGGUACCUGCAGAAAAAGCACCGGCUAACUACGUGCCAGCAGCCGCAGUAAGAC